GACGAGUCGAGGAAAACGCAAAGGUGCGUAUUUUUAAGAUAGAGGGCAUCAGGCCUUUGGCCAGACGCGGGAAGCGUCGAUGCUGACACACCCUUGAUGUGAACGAGAAGGAGUCACA
rfam:Lactobacillus delbrueckii subsp. bulgaricus ATCC 11842 complete genome